AUAGCAUUAGGAGAUACACCUAAUGUAAAUGAUGAGUUAAUGGGUGCAGCACACCAACAUGGCACAUGUAUACAUAUGUAACAAACCUGCACGUUGUGCACAUGUACCCUAGAACUUAAAGUAUAAUUAAAAAACAAAACAAAACAAAACAAACAAACAAAAAAAACAAUGAGGUGCUAUUGUUUCAGUGGUGAGUAUCCGGAGACCUGGGAGUUCUCUUUACCAGGUAUAACCUGGGCUCAAAAUUCCAGGCUGACUUCAGGCAUGUCCUCAUCUCACAGAUGCCAGCACUAAGGCCCUGAGAGGGCCGAGCUCAUUCAGCCCGCCCAUCUUCUCACCCCUGGCCGCAAUUCCUGCGGUCCUUCUGCAGCCAGGUGCUGCUGCAGUACUUUGGGAUCUAUUGGCUGAGCUCCCAGAGAAGGGUCAUGGAUUGGGCUGGUUUGGAACAAGUGAAGGGACUGAAGAUGGCUCAGUAUGGGGCGAAGACCUUCAGGAAGGGUCUGCAGAGUGAGUAGGGGGGUUUUGACUAGGAAAAAUUCCAACCCUGCAGGGGCCGCUGCCAAGAGAAAAGCAUCUAUUACAGUUACAUUUUUAAGUUAAGUAGACUGAAGAAUAUUUCUUGUGUAUUAAAGAUGUUCCUCUUUGGUUGAUUUGCAAUGGAAAAGCUUUUGUUUUCUUUUUUUCUUUUUUUUUGGAAACAGGGUCUCACUCUGCUCACUGGUACAGUCACGGCUCACUGCAGCCUCUACUUCCUGGGCUCAAGUGAUCUUCUCACUUCAGCCUUCUGAGUAGCUGGGACUACGGCCCCCUCUGCAGCUCUUCAUGGGGGUCCACUCAAGUCGGAAGCCACAUCUGGGUGUGAUUCAGAGAGCUGUUUAUGCAAAACCACCCUUGUUACCAUCAGGCAAGGCACCUGAAUUCCCACCACAGCGAGUGCUGUGGCCCUGAGGACUUUUCUGUCACCAGCCAUUUCCAGGUAGACCCAGUGUAAUCACAAGCAUCCUUGUAAGUGGAAAAGAGGCAGAGGAGACAGCGCCAGAGAGGCAGCUGCAUGAGAAGGAUCAAUGAUAUUGCUGACCUUGAAGCUGGAAGAAGAGGGCCAUGAGCCCUCAGUAUGUGGGUGGCCUCCAGAAGCUGGAAGGGGCAAGGAGUUGGAUUUGACCCUAGACCCUCCAGGGGCAGUUGCACCUGCCAACACUGAUUGUAGCCUGGUGAGGCCUGUUUUAGACUUCUGACCUGUAGAGCUGUAACAUAAUACAUUUGGGUUGUUUUCAACCACUAAGUUUGUGGUAAUUUGUUAUAGCAGCCGUAGAAAAUGAAUACACGUGAAUCCUCUGGCAUUUGUUUGAGAUUUGCUCUGUGGCCUAGUGUGUGGUUGUAAAUGUUCCAUCUGUGCCUGAAAAAAUGUAUAUUUCUAAUGUAGUAGUCUCUGCUUUUUUUUUAUUUUGUACCCCACCAAUAAAAUGAUUUUCAGCAUGUAUCCCCAAA
rnacentral:sRNA from 1 species